rnacentral:rRNA from 1 species
AUUGAACGCUAGCGGGAUGCUUUACACAUGCAAGUCGGACGAGUGGCGGACGGGUGAGUAAUAUAUCGGAACGUACCCAGUAGUGGGGGAUAACUACUCGAAAGAGUGGCUAAUACCGCAUAUUAUUCGAGCGGCCGAUAUCGGAUUAGCUAGUUGGUGGGGUAAAGGCCCACCAAGGCGACGAUCCGUAGCGGGUUUGAGAGGACGACCAGCCACACUGGGACUGAGACACGGCCCAGACUCCUACGGGAGGCAGCAGUGGGGAAUUUUGGACAAUGGGUGCAAGCCUGAUCCAGCCAUGCCGCGUGUAUGAGAAGGCCUUCGGGUUGUAAAGUACUUUUGUCAGAGAAGCGGUAUCUGCAGAAUAAGCACCGGCUAACUACGUGCCAGCAGCCGCGGUAAUUC